rfam:Myotis lucifugus cont2.23749, whole genome shotgun sequence.
GCUUGCAAGAGGGUGACAAACCCUGGAAUCGGGCUCCCUCCUCUCUGGUUCCAGGUGUGUCACCCAAGA